GCCUCAGUGGCUUAGUGGAAUAGCCCUUGAUUAUAGUACCACAAAUUUGAUACUAGACAAUCAAGACGUCCUGGGUUCGAUUCCCGGCUGAGGCA